GCAUAUCAAUAAGCGGAGGAAAAGAAACCAACAGGGAUUGCCCCAGUAACGGCGAGUGAAGCGGCAACAGCUCAAAUUUGAAAUCUGGCCCCCCCCCCCCGGGGGGCCCGAGUUGUAAUUUGCAGAGGAUGCUUUGGGCGAGGCGCCUUCCGAGUUCCCUGGAACGGGACGCCACAGAGGGUGAGAGCCCCGUCUGGUCGGACGCCGAGCCUCUGUAAAGCUCCUUCGACGAGUCGAGUAGUUUGGGAAUGCUGCUCAAAAUGGGAGGUAUAUGUCUUCUAAAGCUAAAUACCGGCCAGAGACCGAUAGCGCACAAGUAGAGUGAUCGAAAGAUGAAAAGCACCUUGAAAAGGGGGUUAAACAGUACGUGAAAUUGUUGAAAGGGAAGCGCUCGUGACCAGACUUGGGGCGGGCGGAUCAGCCGGCGUUCUCGCCGGCGCACUCCGCCCGUCCCAGGCCAGCAUCAGUUCGCGCCGGGGGACAAAGGCGGCGGGAACGUGGCUCCCCAGGGAGUGUUAUAGCCCGCCGCGCCAUGCCCCGGGGGCGGACUGAGGGCCGCGCAUCACUGCAAGGAUGCUGGCGUAAUGGUCACCAGCGACCCGUCUUGAAACACGGACC
rnacentral:rRNA from 1 species